rnacentral:rRNA from 1 species
UACAGAGGUCUCAAGCGUUGUUCGGAUUCAUUGGGCGUAAAGGGUGCGUAGGCGGCGCGGUAAGUCGGGUGUGAAAUCUCGGGGCUUAACUCCGAAACUGCAUUCGAUACUGGCGUGCUUGAGGACUGGAGAGGAGACUGGAAUUCACGGUGUAGCAGUGAAAUGCGUAGAUAUCGUGAGGAAGACCAGUGGCGUAAGCGAAUCUCUGGACAGUUCCUGACGCUGAGGCACGAAGGCUAGGGGAGCAAACGGG